AUCCAAUUAACUACCUAUCCACUUCGUUGAUAAGUCAACACGAGGAAUCUCACGGAAGCAACAGCCACUUAGCCAGUAAGAGCACUCCGAUGGAUGUUCUAUAAUAUAAAAUUCUUUAAAAUACGAAGAAAUUUGUUUAAAAAUGACCUAGAGGUUGUAUUUUAUCUUCAUUUUCCUUUGAAAAUUAAGGAUGAAGACGUUUCAUAGGGCGUGUACAAAGCCCUUUGUACACUACAUAUACACACACCCUCUCACCACUGUUCUGUACUGUAUAUGUAGUGAAUUUUUAAUUUUGCCCCCGUCCUCCAUUUCGGUCAAUGCGAUGUCACCCCGUUGCAACCUCUCUUCUGAGUUCUCUCCCAUUAAACCCACCGUCUCACCGCUGUUUGUGAAGCACACUGAACACAUGCCGGAUGAAAUUGAUUAAAUGGAUGUACCGUGAAAGAGAUUGAGAUAUUGGAAGAUGUGGAACACCCAGUUAUUGGUGUCAAUGGCAGCGAUUUGAAAUUGGAGAAUGGAGAAGAUGUGGCAGGCUUGGAUGGUGUAUAAUUACUAUUUACACCACAUCCGGUGUGAAGAUUUUUCUUUCUGUCAAAGUUGCGGGUCCAGUGGAUGUUUGGAUGCUGUCAUGCUGAGAAGUGAGAAUAUUUGGAGAAUAGUUAUAUAUCUUCCAGCAAAAUGAUCUGCAACAAGAAGAAGCAUUGGAUGUCGAAGGAAUGUUUGGAUGCCAAAGGAAUCUAUUACUUUGGUCUCCAUUUAGGACUGGAAAGAGGCCAAUGAACUGCCAAAUAAGGGAGAAUCGCAAAUCUGGAAGCUUCUGGCAACCACAAACCAACACGCACCCCUCCAUGGUGUUGCCCAGCCGCCGAUAUUCAAGACCACCGAAUACGGCACCAAACGGAACGACGAGUGGCUUGCAAGCGCAGGUUGAAGUUCUCGGAGAUGUUCGGCGAGUGGCUCUCACGCGGCAACAGGAAGCCCUUUGUCGAAGCCAUGCGCGGCACGGCGCUUCUGGAGCCUGUGAAUUCGGGACUUCCAAGAUCGGCCGUCGAUUUUCCUCCCAGAGUGGUGCAUGUACUACACGCACCACAGCAGCCUCUUGGUGCAUUGUUUUUCCAGUUUUGCGCAUUGUUCCCCAUUGUAUUUUAUUUUGUGUCCUAUCUUUACUUUUUAGAAAAAUAAAAAUCCAAAAAAAUAGUACCGUUGGACUUUAGUCCGAAUGGAGUGGUCCCCCCUACUUGGCCGUGCUUAUGGUGGGGUUGGUACUCCAUACUCUGCUUAGUCGGGGUAUGGAGUUUUGUUAACUCUAUCUUGGAUAGAGUUGUGCACGACAAAUCUCUUAGACUUAGAAUUUUAGAGAUUUGUCGUCUGGAUUAGACCAUGUCAGUUACAGAAGUGUACUAAGAAGCUAUUAAUGUUCGUAACUGACUUGUUUUUAAGUCAAAUUUGU